UGAGCUGCUAUCUUCCAGAUCUGCACAGCCUUCAGUUUUGGUGCCCAGGAAUGCAGAGGGGGUAAUUUUUUUUUUUUUUUUUUUUUUGGUAAUUGCACAGUACAAUUUAGCUGUAAGAGGCAGUCAACUGCCUUGUAGGUAAGUGGGUGAAGAAAAUUGUCACUGGUGCUAUGUUCAUGUGUUUAUGAGGCUCUGUCCAGUGUCACCUGACCCAAAGUCAUUCCCAAAACCACUGUUAGGAUCACUCACAUGCUGACAAUGCACUGGGAAGUAUCUCAGAGGGGUAGAGGACACUGAAAACAGCUGCUCAUAUGUCUUCUUCCAGACAUGCUUUUUCCUGUGUCAGCUUGUGUUCUCACAUUUUUCUCUUGCUUCUGGACAGGACAGUAUUUUUAAGCCUAAAAGAAUUGUGUUUUAAAGUGAUAACUCUAUAAAUAAAUAGCUAACACCCAGAUGACUUUGGUCAAGAAAGAGAAAAAUGUGACAGUUGGCCACUGCAGGAAGCCAGUUCCCAGGACCUGGAUUUUAUGAGGUGCUGGAAAUAGGGGUAGUACUUUGUCUGACUGGAGACUCCUGUCCUCCUUUUGCUGCCUAAGUUGCUGUAUGUGAUUUCUGUUGUGAGAUGUGUGGGUUUGUCAUAUGUGGAAAUGAACUGGUGCCUCACACAUUCUAAGGACGGGUUUGGGCACACGCACACACAAUUUACUCUUUAACUUUCUCCCUCUCAAAAUCCCUGGGCACUUGCACCACGGUGUGAAGCUGCUGCUGUGGCUUAGUUCAGUUGUGCUGUUUUAUAGCCUUGCUUUUGACCAGUUACCAAUUCCCUCUGAUUUUUGCUUUAAUUGCCAGGGGGACAAAGGUGCGAUGGGAAUCCCUGGGCGGCCGGGUGCUCCAGGAGAAGCUGGCAUGUCCAUCAUCGGGCCCCGUGGCCCACCCGGACAGCCUGGAACAAGAGGUUUUCCUGGAUUCCCGGGCCCUAUUGGCUUGGAUGGCAAACCGGGGCAUCCUGGACAGAAGGGAGAGAUGGUAAAAAUCCAUCUGUUUGUGUGUGGGUGAUGGGUUGGUUUGCAAUGAUGUUGUGCCUCAGCUGGAAACAAGCUCAGGGGCAGGGUAGCAAUCUUCCCUCAGCUGAUGCACUAGCUGCAUCCCUAAUUCUGUAACUUCAUAAUAGCAGGGCUGGGAUGCAUGUCUGUAAUUUUUGCAUUAUGGCUAGCACAUUCGUCAUGUCACAACAGCAACUCUCUAGUUAGGCAUGGGAUGUGUUUUCCUUGCACUUAGCAAUUAUGUUCUUUAAAUAUAUUCUGGGAGCUGACAUUUUUUGUGGUUGGCCUCAUAGGACAAGUAAAAGUUGAUGGAAAGAUUUCUGAAAACCCAUCUGGCAGCUUUCAACUUAUC
rnacentral:lncRNA from 1 species